GCAUCUGAAUCUUUCCCACUCCUUGCUAUGUGGUGCUGGACUGUGGGGACACAGGAUGCAACAGGAAAGCAGAGGAAAUCCAGACAGGCUCUUUCACUGCACUGGGGCUUGUCUCUACACCUUUGCAACAUUG
rfam:Colinus virginianus strain Texas jcf7180006227223, whole genome shotgun sequence.